GUGCCAGCAGCCGCGGUAAUUCCAGCUCCAAUAGCGUAUAUUAAAGUUGUUGUGGUUAAAAAGCUCGUAGUUGAACCUUGGGCCUGGCUGGCCGGUCCGCCUCACCGCGUGCACUGGUCCGGCCGGGCCUUUCCCUCUGUGGAACCCCAUACCCUUCACUGGGCGUGGCGGGGAAACAGGACAUUUACUUUGAAAAAAUUAGAGUGCUCCAGGCAGGCCUAUGCUCGAAUACAUUAGCAUGGAAUAAUAAAAUAGGACGCGCGGUUCUAUUUUGUUGGUUUAUAGGACCGCCGUAAUGAUUAAUAGGGACAGUCGGGGGCAUCAGUAUUCAACUGUCAGAGGUGAAAUUCUUGGAUCAGUUGAAGACUAACUACUGCGAAAGCAUUUGCCAAGGAUGUUUUCAUUAAUCAGGAAUGAAAGUUAGGGGAUCGAAGACGAUCAGAUACCGUCGUAGUCUUAACCAUAAACUAUGCCGACUAGGGAUCGGACGGUGUUAUUCAUGACCCGUUCGGCACCUUACGAGAAAUCAAAGUGCUUGGGCUCCAGGGGGAGUAUGGUCGCAAGGCUGAAACUUAAAGAAAUUGACGGAAGGGCACCACCAGGGGUGGAGCCUGCGGCUUAAUUUGACUCAACACGGGGAAACUCACCAGGUCCAGACACAAUAAGGAUUGACAGAUUGAGAGCUCUUUCUUGAUUUUGUGGGUGGUGGUGCAUGGCCGUUCUUAGUUGGUGGGGUGACUUGUCUGCUUAAUUGCGAUAACGAACGAGACCUUAACCUGCUAAAUAGCCCGCAUUGCUCCGGGCAGUGCGGCUGGCUUCUUAG
rnacentral:rRNA from 1 species